rnacentral:rRNA from 1 species
CAAUAGCGUAUAUUUAAGUUGCUGCAGUUAAAAAGCUCGUAGUUGGAUUUCGGGUGGGAAUGGCCGGUCCGCCGUUUCGGUGUGCACUUGCUACGCCCACCUUGCUGCCGGGGACGUGCUCUUGAGUUCACGCUCGGGACACGGAGUCGGCGAGGUUACUUUGAGUAAAUUAGAGUGUUCAAAGCAGGCCUACGCUCUGAAUACAUUAGCAUGGAAUAACACGAUAGGACUCUGGCCUAUCUUGUUGGUCUGUAGGACCGGAGUAAUGAUUAAGAGGGACAGUCGGGGGCAUUCGUAUUUCAUUGUCAGAGGUGAAAUUCUUGGAUUUAUGAAAGACGAACUACUGCGAAAGCAUUUGCCAAGGAUGUAUUCAUUAA